GACGAACGCUGGCGGCGUGCUUAACACAUGCAAGUCGAACGGAAAGGCCCUGCUUGCAGGGUACUCGAGUGGCGAACGGGUGAGUAACACGUGGGUGAUCUGCCCUGCACUUCGGGAUAAGCUUGGGAAACUGGGUCUAAUACCGGAUAGGAACCAUCUUUAGUGUGGUGGUUGGAAAGUUUUUUCGGUGUAGGAUGAGCUCGCGGCCUAUCAGCUUGUUGGUGGGGUAAUGGCCUACCAAGGCGGCGACGGGUAGCCGGCCUGAGAGGGUGUACGGCCACAUUGGGACUGAGAUACGGGCCAGACUCCGGCGGGAGGCAGAAGGGGGGAAUAUUGCACACUGGGAGAAAGCCUGAUGCAGGGAGGCCGCGGGGGGGAUGAAGGCCUUCGGGUUGUAAGAUCCUCUCGCUAGGGACGAAGCUUUGUUGUGACGGUACCUAGAUAAGAAGCACCGGCUAACUACGUG
rnacentral:rRNA from 1 species